rnacentral:pre_miRNA from 1 species
AUAUCAUUUGGAUCGUCGGUCUACCGAGCAUUUGCAUCCGCUCCGUGGAAGAUUUUUCCUUUUUCGU